CAGGGAGAGGAGAGGAGCCAGAAGUUGAGUUCAACCACCAGUGGCCAAUGAUUUCAUCAACCAUGCCUGCAUGAUGAAGCCUCCAUAAAACCCUAACCAAAGCGGUUAGGAGAACUUCUGGGGUGAGAAGUCAUUUCUCCUUAUGGCUGACCCUGUAUUGAGAAUGAUACCUGGAGUGCCAGCUAGCUGACACAUAUCAGAUAGGAUUCGAGUAGAAUGUUGCAGAAACCCAGAGGACAUUUCUGAACACUUUACACUACUCAAGGUGGCAAAGGAGAGACAUGGAGCCAUUUGAGGCACUCAAUCGUUGCAUUGCAAGAAAACAUGGAAUUACAUCCAUUCCUCCAGUGACUAAUAUUUGCUUCACUAAUAUCAAAUUUGCACCUUGCUGCUCAGUUUCUGGGCCUUUAUGGGAACACAACAAUAAGUAUUCAUUUCAAUGCCAAAUCAUGCUGUAAUCUUUUUGAAGACAUUGUCAGAAGCACUUAAACUCAAGACAUAUUGUGCAUAUAAUGCACAUGACUCUCUUGAAGUGAUGACAAUGAACAGCCAUGGCCAAGCACCCAUGCACAGGUCAGAAGACUUCAUCAUACCUGGCAAUGGAUAU
rnacentral:sRNA from 1 species